AACGCACAUUGCGCCUUUUGGUAUUCCGAAAGGCAUACCUGUUCGAGCGCCGUUUCAUUACUCAAGUUUUUACUUGGUGUUGAAUGGUAAUCUCAUUAGAUUCAUUCGAAACUCAUUGGCACUUUGUCCUCUGGUUAAUAGCGUGACAGAAAUGUCGUUAUCAAACCGAUUGAUUUAGUUGCCAGUAUCUUUUUUAUAUGAACUGAUGGCCUCGGAUCAGGUAGGGUUACCCGCUGAACUUAA
rnacentral:misc_RNA from 1 species